rnacentral:snRNA from 1 species
GUGCUCAAUUCAGCAGCACAUAUACUAAAAUUGGAAUACAGAGAAGAUUAGCAUGGCCCCAUGCAAGGAUGACAUAUUUUUUCAAUUGUGCAAAUUGGG